rnacentral:snRNA from 1 species
GUGCUCGCUUCGGCAGCACAUAUACUAAAAUUGGAACGAUACAGAGAUUAGCAUGGCUCCUGCGCAAGGAGGACACGCAGAUUCGUGAAGCGGUCCAUACUUUU